rnacentral:rRNA from 1 species
AUUGAACGCCGGCGGCAGGCUUAACACAUGCAAGUCGAGCGGGGUGAUGGUGCUUGCACUAUCACUUAGCGGCGGACGGGUGAGUAAUGCUUAGGAAUCUGCCUAUUAGUGGGGGACAACAUUUCGAAAGGAAUGCUAAUACCGCAUACGUCCUACGGGAGAAAGCAGGGGAUCUUCGGACCUUGCGCUAAUAGAUGAGCCUAAGUCGGAUUAGCUAGUUGGUGGGGUAAAGGCCUACCAAGGCGACGAUCUGUAGCGGGUCUGAGAGGAUGAUCCGCCACACUGGGAAUGAGACACGGCCCAGACUCCUACGGGAGGCAGCAGUGGGGAAUAUUGGACAAUGGGCGGAAGCCUGAUCCAGCCAUGCCGCGUGUGUGAAGAAGGCCUUAUGGUUGUAAAGCACUUUAAGCGAGGAGGAGGCUACUUUAGUUAAUACCUAGAGAUAGUGGACGUUACUCGCAGAAUAAGCACCGGCUAACUCUGUGCCAGCAGCCGCGGUAAUAC